rnacentral:rRNA from 1 species
AGCUAUAAGGUAAUAUUUAUAGUCUUACCUGCCCAAUGUAAUAGAAUGAAUGGCCGCGGUACUCUGACCGUGCUAAGGUAGCGUAAUCAGUUGGCUUUUAAAUGGAGUCAGGAAUGAAAGGAAUAACCGGGUUAAGCUGUCUCCUAGCUAUUUUCUUGAAUUUACUGUUUGAGUGAAAAAGCUCAAGUGUUGAAAAGGGAAGAGAAGACCCUUAGAAUUUUUUUAAGAGUAAAUUUUUGUUUAUAAUUAUUUUGUUGGGGCGACAUAGAAAUAUAUUACAACUUUUUUUAUUAUACGUGCCGAUUUUAUUAAGAAAGAAUAAAUUACCUAAGGGAUAACAGCAUAAUUCUAUAAAUGAGUUUGUGACCUCGAUGUUGGACUAGGGAACUAGCAGGUUAGCCGCUUGUUG